AAUUUCAGCUGAAAAAGUCAUGAACAUGAAAGUUGCAGAGCUCAUCAAGACAUACAACUUUUAUUUUAGUCAUUUCUUCAUCUAAUAAAUUGAUAAUAAUAUUGUUCACAAAGUUUACAUAUGAGAUAGAUGCAAAUUUUGUGAACAAUGUUAUUAUCACUUUGUCGGAUGAAGAAAUGACCAAAAUAAAAGUUAUAGAUCUUGAUGAGUUAUACAACUUUGUUGUUGAUGACUUUUUCAGUUGAAAUC
rnacentral:pre_miRNA from 2 species